GUACAAUCAGGCAACACAUUUAUUUAGCCAACAUUCUAGUUCAAAAGCAACUUUUUGCUAAAUCAAGACUGUGAUGGUGUAAAAAUAUUGCAGUCAAUAUUUUUGUACUAAAAAAAUUGAAAGCUUUAGUUGAUACGUCCACGGAUUGAGUCCUCGCGAGCUUGGUUCUAUGUGUUAAUUAUUAUCAUUAUCAUUAUUUUUUUUGGCAAACUUCAAGGGAGUAACUUCUUCACCUCAUUUACAAGCUCCACUAAAAAUUAACUCAGCAAUGAUUUUACAAUGCUCGAGAGUAAAAUGUUAAAUUCGUAUUAAAUCUACUUGAAAUUUCUU
rnacentral:misc_RNA from 1 species